rnacentral:rRNA from 1 species
UAACGGCUCACCAAGGCGACGAUCAGUAGCUGGUCUGAGAGGAUGAUCAGCCACAUUGCGACUGAGACACGGCCCAAACUCCUACGGGAGGCAGCAGUGGGGAAUAUUGGACAAUGGGCGCAAGCCUGAUCCAGCAAUGCCGCGUGUGUGAAGAAGGUCUUCGGAUUGUAAAGCACUUUCGACGGCGACGAUGAUGACGGUACCCGUAGAAGAAGCCCCGGCUAACUUCGUGCCAGCAGCCGCGGUAAUACGAAGGGGGCUAGCGUUGCUCGGAAUGACUGGGCGUAAAGCGCGUGUAGGCGGGCCGCCACGUCGGCUGCUGAAAUCCCCCGGCUCAACCGGGGAACGGGCACCGAUACGAGCGGCCUCGAGGGGGGUAGGGGUGGUCUGGUACUUCCGGUGCAGCGAUGAAAUG